AACAAUUCAACAGAGCAGCACAAGGUUGUUCUCACAAUCUCGAUAUGCUAUCGCUUGGCAAAUAUCAAACUGAACUCAACUUUUGAAAAAGUUAAUGAACAGCAGAUUGCGGCAGUUUUCCGGAACAAAGUAUAAUUACAACAACAUCACUCGGUGAGUUGGCCCCACCCCCCUGUCUCAUACUCAUAGUGAGUUAACUCUUUCUGCUGGCAGCUUCCUUUCAAUUCCCCCAGACACCUUCCAUAUCUCUAAAUGUGUAUUAAUGGAA